rnacentral:lncRNA from 1 species
AAUUAAUUUAAGGGUUAAUUGCAUACAGGUCCCCACAAAUAUAGUGAAUUACAGAUAUAUUCCUACAAAGUUCAACUUUCAUUAGUUAUUCCUACAAAAGUCCUAAUGUAUUUACAUAUAUUCCUGCCAUUAGAAUCCGUUAAAGAAAUUUAGUUAAUCACAAUUAAAAUACUUAACCAUGAUUAAUUAAUAAGAUAAAUUGAUAAUUUUACCCUUCAUCUUCUUCCUCUUUCUCUUCGUCUUCAUCUUCUUCCUCUUCCUCUUCUUCUUCUUUUUCUUCUUCUUCUUCUCUUCCUUUUCUCCUCCUUCUUCUUCCUUUUCCUUUUCCUCAUCUUUCUUCGAAUCGGCCGCACCUUCGCCCUCCGCCUCAUUGCUGCGGGCUUCAGCAUUGUCCUUGUCGACCGCAACUCUAACAAGCUUCACCCCGCCGCUGCUGCCACCGCCACCGCUGCCGCUGCCGUCGCCGCUGUCCGCUUCCACAGCCCGAAAAGGAAGAGAAAAAAGAAAAUGGAGAUUUGUGAGGGCAUUUCUGCAAAUGUAUACCAGCUGGAGUUUUGGAGGGACAUAUUUGUGAGGGCAAAAAUGUCAUUUCACGAAUCUACUGUUAAAAAUUAAACAGUUCUUUAACGGAUGCUAACCAGAGGGACAUAUCUGAAUAUAUUAGGAAUUUUGCAAGGAUAGCUUACGAAAGUUGCACUUUAUAGGGAUAUAUCUGCAAUUCACCAUGUUUGCGAAAAUCUGUAUGCAAUUAACCCUUAAUUUAAAUUCAACAAUUAAAAUACAUAAAUUUAU